GAUGAACGCUAGCGGCAGGCUUAAUACCAUGCAAGUCGAGGGGCAUCAAGGUACACGAAAGUGUAUUGUUGGCGACCGGCGGACGGGUGAGUAAUAGGUAGGUAACCUACCUCAUACUGAGGCAUAGCUGGGAGAAAUUCCAGGUAAUUCCUCAUGAGGUUAUAUGACACAUGUGAUAUAAUCAAAGGUAUCGCAAGGUACUGGUAUGAGAUGGGCUUACUGACCAUUAGCUAGUUGGUGAGAUAAGAGCUCACCAAGGCGAAGAUGGUUAGGGGUUUUGAGAGAGAGAUCCCCCACAUUGGAACUGAGAUACGGUCCAGACUCCUACGGGAGGCAGCAGUAGGGAAUAUUGGGCAAUGGGCGGAAGCCUGACCCAGCCAUGCCGCGUGAAGGAAGACGGCCUUAUGGGUUGUAAACUUCUUUACUAUGCGACUAACUAGAUUUACGAGAUAAUUCUAUAGAAUGUAGCAUAGCAAAAAGCACCGGA
rnacentral:rRNA from 1 species